GGUGAACGCUGGCGGCGUGCUUAACACAUGCAAGUCGAACGAGAACGGAAUAUAGCUUGCUAUAUUUGUCAGCUAAGUGGCGCACGGGUGAGUAAUGUAUAGACAACCUGCCCUUAAGAAAGGAAUAACAGUUGGAAACGACUGCUAAUGCCCUAUAUGCCUUUAAUACAUAAGUAUGCAAGGGAAACGCUUUAGUGCUUAAGGAUGGGUCUGUAUGGUAUCAGCUUGUUGGUGAGGUAAUGGCUCACCAAGGCUAUGACGCCUAACUGGUUUGAGAGGAUGAUCAGUCACACUGGAACUGAGACACGGUCCAGACUCCUACGGGAGGCAGCAGUUGGGAAUAUUGCACAAUGGACGAAAGUCUGAUGCAGCAACGCCGCGUGGAGGAUGACACAUUUCGGUGCGUAAACUCCUUUUAUAUAGGAAGAUAAUGACGGUACUAUAUGAAUAAGCACCGGCUAACUCCGUGCCAGCCGCCGCGGUAAGAC
rnacentral:rRNA from 1 species